CUGUAGUGCAGAGGUUCCCGAGAUGGAGAGCUGACACAGGACAGCAACCCAGAGAAGAAAAAAUGUGAGCUGGACCUUCAAUGCUUGGCAGCAUUGAAGAGGAAAAGCAUCUCAGAUAAAGGAAAAGAAAGACAUGAGAAAACUGAGAUCCAGAAAUUCAAGAUCAAUAACCAAUAAUUGAAAAGGAAGUUCAACUCUACCAACUGUCUAUAGCAUUUCACAGUGUUGUGGAUGAUUAUGCUGUCUAGGGAACUGAGUAGUUACUGCACUUUCAAAAACAUCAUCUCACAGUCCUGAGUGAUCUAUCCACACAUCCAUCUUCAAGCUUCCCAAAGGCAGGAAUCACCUAUUGUUCGUCUGUAAACUCCAAUGAGAAACAUACAGUCUGGUGUAUGGGAGGUCAUCAAAACAAGUGUGGAGGUAUAAGCUAAGACUGACAACUGCCUCCCAAGUUUCUAUUCAAAAGUAAUCAUUUUGGAUGUAAAUCUCAUCAGGAAUGUGUUUAAACUCAGGAACUGCUGAAUUGUACUGUAACUUGGCUCAUCCCAAAUAGUGCAGUUGUCUUCACAAUGGAGAGACUGUCACAGCCUAAAAAGACACGUGACUCUGAGCAUCAGUUUACUGGCUGCCCACUCAAUGAUUCAGACUCCUCCAUUCUUUGUGUGGAAGAGAACUGGCCUUCCGGGAGCCUGAGGCCAAGUGAGAGAACCUUCUGAAAGCCGUCACUGCAUGGGGAGCCUGGACUUACCC
rnacentral:lncRNA from 1 species